AUGGGUCUCUGCUUCUGCCCUAACCACGCGGCCCUGUUACCAUUUGGCCUCCUGUACCUCCUGCCCAUUGUUAAUGCUGCUCGCAGAAGCAGGGCUCCCUGCUGGAUGUCAUCCCCCGGUGGUGCUGGUGCCUGGGGAUUUGGGCAACCAGCUGGAGGCAAAGCUGGACAAGCCAAUGGUCAUGCACUACCUCUGCUCUAAGAAGACAGAUAGCUACUUCACACUCUGGCUGAACCUUGAAAUGCUGCUGCUGGUCAUCAUUGCUGGAUUGACAAUAUCAGGCUGAUCUACAGUGGAACAUCUCGGGCCACCCAGUUCCCUGAUGGUGUGGAUGUGCGUGUCCCUGGCUUUGGGCAGAUCUUCUCACUGGAGUUCCUGGACCCCAGCAGAAGCAGUGUAGGUUCCUAUUUCCACACCAUGGUGGACAGCCUUGUGGGCUGGGGCUACACACGGGGUGAGGACGUCCGGGGGGCCCCUUAUGAUUGGCGCUGAGCCCCAAAUGAGAAUGGGCCCUACUUCCUGGCCCUUCGCAAGAUGAUCGAAGAACUGCACCAGGUGUACAGGGCCCCUGUAGUGCUGGUUGCCCACAGCAUGGGCAACAUGUACAUGCUCUACUUUCUGCAGCAGCAGACACAGGCCUGGAAGGACAAGUACAUCCGGGCCUUCAUGGCACUUGGUAUGCCGUGGGGGGGCAUGGCCAAGACCCUUUGUGUCCUGGCCUCAGGAGACAACAACUGGAUCCCAGUGAUUGAGUCCCUGAAGAUCCGGGAGCAGCAGCAGUCUGCUGUCUCCACCAGCUGGAUGCUGCCCUAUAGCCACACGUGGUCACCUGGGAAGGUAUUCGUGCACACGCCCACCACCAGCUACACACUGCGGGAUUAUCGCCAGUUCUUUCAGGACAUUGGCUUUGAGGACGGCUGGUUCAUGCGGCAGGACACAGAGGGGCUGGUUGAUGUCAUGGUGCCACUUGAUGUGCAACUGCACUGUCUCUAUGGCACUGGGGUCCCCACGCCAGAUUCUACUAUGACAGCUUCCCUGACCGUGACCCUAAGAUCUACUUUGAAAACUCACACAAGGACAGUAGCCAAAAAAAAAAAGGAGGGGAAAAAAAAAACCUCUGCAGUAUCUGGAGAGAAGGCAGUACAAGAAAAAAGUAG